CCUACGGGAGGCAGCAGUGGGGAAUAUUGCACAAUGGGCGAAAGCCUGAUGCAGCAACGCCGCGUGAAGGAAGAAGGGUUUCGGCUCGUAAACUUCUAUCAACAGGGACGAAGCAAGUGACGGUACCUGACGAAUACGCCACGGCUAACUACGUGCCAGCAGCCGCGGUAAUACGUAGGUGGCAAGCGUUAUCCGGAUUUAAUGGGUGUAAAGGGCGUGUUGGCGGGGAAGUAAGUCAGAUGUGAAAACCACGGGCUCAACCUGUGACCUGGAUUUGAGACUGGUUGUCUUGAGUGCUGGAGAGGCAAGCGGAAUUCCGGGUGUAGCGGUGAAAUGCGUAGAUAUACGGAGGAACACCGGUGGCGAAGGCGGAUUGCUGGACAGUAACUGACGCUGAGGCGCGAAAGCGUGGGGAGCAAACAGGAUUAGAUACCCCAGUAGUC
rnacentral:rRNA from 1 species